rnacentral:rRNA from 1 species
UACAGAGGUCUCAAGCGUUGUUCGGAUUCAUUGGGCGUAAAGGGCGCGUAGGCGGUCGACCAAGUCUGGGGUGAAAUCUUUCGGCUCAACCGGAAAAGUGCCCCCGAUACUGGCCGGCUAGAGGGAGAUAGGGGCAUGCGGAACUUCCGGUGGAGCGGUGAAAUGCGUAGAUAUCGGAAGGAACGCCGGUGGCGAAAGCGGCGUGCUGGAUCUCUUCUGACGCUGAGGCGCGAAAGCCAGGGGAGCAAACGGG